UAAUACUAGCGGUCCAAGUCGCAGCCAUUUUUAUUGGGUCUAAAACAUCCGUAGCUUGCUUGGUAAGUUUCCUGUGAAAUCCUAUCUCUUAAAGAUAGGGCGUGCAAGAAGUACUGCCGAGCUAGAGACUGGAAGACGUAGGAAGUACGGUCAAAGUAGCGGUAAAAUGUAUUAAUCUUGACUGGACUAACGAUAGCGAAGGCAUCCUACGAGGACAGUUCUGACAGUAAGGGAUGAAAGCUAGGGGCGCAAAACGGAUUAGAUACCCGUGUAGUCCUAGCUGUAAACACUGCACACUAAACAUUAGUAUCUCCUCGAGAGGUAUUAGUGCUGCAGCGAAGGCGAAGAGUGUGCUACCUGGGAAGUAUAGUCGCAAGGCCG
rnacentral:rRNA from 1 species